CUUCCAUGCUGCGGUGCGGUGCAAGUCCUUUGGAACAAGGCGCCAGCGAGGGUGACAGCCCCGUCCCACCACCACCAACGCAUCUGGAGGGCACCGACGAGUCGAGUUGUUUGGGAAUGCAGCUCUAAGUGGGUGGUAAAUUCCAUCUAAAGCUAAAUACCGGCGAGAGACCGAUAGCGAACAAGUACAGUGAUGGAAAGAUGAAAAGCACUUUGAAAAGAGAGUGAAACAGUACGUGAAAUUGUUGAAAGGGAAGGGCUUGCACCCAGACACGGCCUCGGCCGGGCCAGCAUCUGGUGGAGAAGAGUAAAAAAGGGUGGUUGAUGUAGCUGCCAGGCUCGCCUGGCAGUGUUAUACAGCUGCCUCCUUGCUCUUUCUCCGCCAGAGGACUGCAAUCUACGGAUGCUGGCGCAAUGGUUGCAAGCCACCCGUCUU
rnacentral:rRNA from 1 species